rnacentral:lncRNA from 1 species
AGUCCCUAGUGGUCUUAAACCUUAGAUUAUAAUAUCAUUCUUGUUACAAUCUCAAGUGAUUAUAAACCAAAUCUCUGAUAGUUUUUCUAUCAUAAUUCUCCACUCACACUUACCUGAACCUAAACCUUAGGAUACCUUAACCUUAAGCUCUGAUACCACUCUGUCACGCCCCGAACCCAUCACCCGGGUCCGGCACGCGACCGGCCGCAUGAGCCCUAGAGCAGUGCCCUAAAGAUCAUGCAAGGCCUAAGAUAAACAACAAUUCAAUAAAUCCACAACUAAUUAAUUAAUUCAAAUUGACAAAUCCGAAAUAUCCAAAUAAACAAUCGGUUCAAUUACAAGAUCUUCAAAUGUUCAUAAAUAAAAGAUAAAUUGACUUCUAACUAUCUAGCAGUCUGACUCCAGAUCGAGCUCACUUCUUGUCCCAUCCGACAGAUUCUACGAAUCCAGUGCCUCUGAAAAAAAAAAUGGAAGUGUAGUAUGAGCUUUUCCAGCCCAGUAAGAAUCCCAACAGCCAUACACAACAAAAUCAUAAAAUAAUCAAGUAUCAAAAUAUAUAUAUCAUUUCAUCAUUUCAAAAGCUCAACAAACAACAAAUGUAUGUAAUCAAUACAUAUACACAAAUCCUUUUUCACAUUAUGUGAUCCAUUUCCGUAUUACUCAAAUUCCAAAAUUUUCAAACUUUUCAUUUCUGGCGUUGGACUAACCAAGAUCAUGUCCCAGUCCAAGACUGCACAAAUCCCACGCAUAAGCUCGUGGCAGCUAUCCCAUGCGUAAGCUCGUGGAGGCUAUCCUACGCAUAAGCUCGUAGAGGCUAUCCCACGCGUAAGCCCGUGGAGGCUAUCCCACGCAUCAGCUCGUGGCCGCUAUCCUACGCAUAAGCUCGUAGAGGCUAUCUCAUGACAAGGUUAGUCCAACCCAUAUUACAUGUCUAGUUUUACAUGUUCAAUCACAUUCCCAUCACAUCAC